ensembl:lncRNA
CAGUUUUUAAGCAUUUGUUUCUUCCGCUGUACUAGGGCGCUGUACUGGGGGCGCGGAUGUCGGGAGAAUCAGCUGCUGCUGGUGCUGCCUCACAACAGUGGAUUUGAGAAGACACACGCGUGUCAGCACACAAGCAACACACACACACACAUACAUAUAUAUAUAUAUACAGACAUACAUCCGCAUAGGGAGACCCAUUCACACACACACACACACACACACACACAUAUGUGCACGUACCCCACACACAUCUCUCUCGGCAGAGUCGCGAGCUGCUCCUGUCUCUCGAGAGAAGCACAUUCCACCCUUGUUGCCCCCUUGUUGCCCCAUUGGCCUCGUGUGGUGGAGUGGAGGCCGCAGGGGGUCAGAGUGGUGACGCUGAAUGUCAUACUUAAAGAGGAAUGUCUUAAACAAACAAACAAACAAACAAACAAAAAACAGACUCUCUUUGCACUGCACUAAAACUGUAUCAUGUACUUAGUUCAUUACGGAGAAGAGAAGUGUGUUAGCUCUAAACAAAUUGUUCUUCUAUGUGUGUGUGGUAGACUAAGAGUGCACUGCUGAGGUGCAUAAAUGUGGUUUUGAUUUGUUUCGUUUGUUUUUUUUUGACUGUACAGAGUUGUGAAUGGUAAGGCAGUGUCUUUGUCUUGCGUGUGCAUGCGUGCGUGUUGUGUGUGCGUGCGUGUGUGUGGAUGUGUGUGAGAGAGAGGGAGAGAGAGUGCAUAUGUGAGUGAGUAUGUUCACCUCCAUGUUGCUUUAGCACACAUUUCAUUAGACUGAUUCAAGAGAGAAGGGGAAUUUCUUGUCGUAGUUCCCAUUGGUAUUUGGUUCACCAACCAGGGCGCAGUCACAGUCAUGGGCUGUGGCAUUGCUCGAGCAAUUUUUUUUUACCUGUGAAUACCUUGGACACACCGUAGGCACAACUAGGGGAGGAGACUCACUGUAAAUAUGAACCAAACUGAUUAGCAGACAACCCACCAAUUAGACCACACCGACUUCUGGACGGGACACUCAUGACGCCCAAUAGAAAAUGAGAGACAGUUGUACAAUUGCCUCGCAUGGCCAGUCGAUUCUGCGUCUGCAGAUUAGGUUCGCAGACAUGCUGAGUCAUUGGCCAGUAGAUCCUCUAUUUGCUGUGUGAGUUUACUCUUGUGGACUAUCGGUCAGGGCCAGACACAUUUAGCUGAGUCAUGCUAUGUAUUGUCUUUUUACGUGAAAUUGCAGGAGGGGAAAUUUACCUCAACAUAUGAAAACACCUAGAUGAGGUUAUGGCUUGGUUGCUUAAAUGUCAGAAUGUUUCCGUACUCUGAGAUGUUACUCUGUCAGGUCUUUCUAAUGGAUUCUGGUGGUUCUGUAGAGAAGAAGGGGAGUGUUUCUGGACAUUAUGGAAGUUGUAUGUCAGCGUCCCCCCGAUAUUAUGCCUGCUGUGCAGCUGUUUGCCUGACAUCUGGAAAGAGCUUACACAAACACAUGCAAAAGCUCUUCCAUCUCCACACGUCUCACAUUCAGUUAUCUGCAUUUAUGGGAAGGCUCCAAUAGUCUGUAGACCCAUCGUCUCAUCACUCUUGGUACCAAAGAGGCCCUCUCUGCGGCAGCCUAUCCAAGUGCCUGGUGCUGCCUGGUCUAUCUCAUACCCUCUGUGCUCUCAGAAGAAUGGUGCUAUCUGGAACCUCUGAGUUUUUUUUCCAGCUUAUCCUCAGAGGAGAACCCUUGGAGAAAGAUUCCACUGAGAACCUCUUGAGAAAAUUCUCCUGAGAGUUCCUCAAGGCUCUAUGGAGAACCUUUCGAGAGGAUUCUACUUAGAGUUCUACAAGGAGACGCUACUGAGAAUCCUUCAUGAAGAUUCCAUCUAAGGGUUUCAUCCCACCUAAAGGCAUUUUGUUUUCUUCUGCAAGUGCACCAGCCCUGAUCAAUACAUCCCAGAGUUAAACUCUGCCCCUAAUGAAUGUGUUUACCUAUCCACAGCUUUACCCCACGGUCCCAAUAUUUCUGGUCAGUUUGGCUCGUCCUGAACUGAUGACAUUAAGAUGGUGGUGAUUGUACGAACACAUUCAAUGCAACUAUAUGAAUUACACUUUAACCUUUUUGUUAUUAAGUCGUCACAAGCCAUGUUAGUCCACGCAUCGGCAGGGCCUCUGAGUCAGACAGCCUAUGUGUGGUGAUUGUAGCCUUAUAUUAGAAUACUGUAUGUCCUGUGGAUAUGCUAGCAGUUUGUCCCUACCAUGAUACCGUAGUUGCAUUGAAUGUACAGUUGGUUAGGGAAAAAAAACGCGAUUGUAUGAAGAGGCUGCCUUUUCUUCCUCCCCUCCGCCUGUAUCUCGAUCGAUCCCUCGCUACCGUUGUCCACAUCAACACAGCACAGCGCAGCGCAGUCCUUGGUUGCCUUGAACCACAUGAGUAAAGAGGUUAAUGGGAGUAUGAUAGUGUUUCCUUGAGCAUCAAUCACCAGGAGAUGGUCAGAGAAAUGCAAUUUUAUUUUUUUUCUUCCAGUGAUGUGGACCUCCUGUCAGAUUUACAGUAAACAUUUGGGGCUGAUGAGGCGUCAUCCCUGAAGUUGUGAUAUAAUGAUGUAAUGUAUGUCUGUUAAAGCUGCUGAAUUCAUGAGGGGAAAAAAAUCAUCAAAAAUAAAACAAA